rnacentral:rRNA from 1 species
GCUACGGGUGGCAGCAGGGGGGAAUAUUGCGCAAUGGGCGAAAGCCUGACGCAGCGACGCCGCGUGAGGGAUGAAGGUCUUCGGAUCGGAAACCUCUGUCAGCAGGGAAGAACGGUCACGGUGCUAAGCAGCAGUGAAUAGACGGUACCAGCAAAGGAAGCACCGGCUAACUCCGUGCCAGCAGGCGCGGUAAUACGGAGGGUGCGAGCGUGAAUCGGAAUGACUGGGCGGAAAGCGCGCGUAGGCGGUAUGUCACGUCACGGGUGAAAUCCCCGCGCUCAACGUGGGAACUGCCUUUGAUACUGGCAGCCUGGCGUGUGUGAUAUGCUCGUGGCAUUCCAGGUGUAGCUGUGACAUCCGUAGAUCUCUGGAGGAACUUCAGUGGCGAAGGCGACUCUCUGGCCCAUAACUGACGCUGAGGCUCGAAAGCGUGGGUAGCAAACAGGAUUAGAUCCCCCUGUAGUC